UACGUAGGGUGCAGGCGUUAAUCGGAAUUACUGGGCGUAAAGCGUGCGCAGGCGGUCUGCUAAGAGAGGUGUGAAAUCCCCGGGCUUAACCUGGGAACUGCGCUUCUAACUGGCAGGCUUGAGUGUGGCAGAGGGGGGUGGAAUUCCACGUGUAGCAGUGAAAUGCGUAGAGAUCGGGAGGAACACCGGUGGCGAAGGCGGGUCU
rnacentral:rRNA from 1 species